AUGGUUGCUGCGGGCCUGUCUUGGGCGCUGCGGACCCCUGGGGCUGCACAUCCCAGCGCGGGGAGACGCCCGAGGGAAGCGGUGCCGUGGAUCCAGUUGACUGGCAGCGGAGGCCCUGGCCUGGCUUCUCAUCCAUCCACGGCAUCGGUCAGGAGGGACGGAGGCUGCUUCAGACAAUGCAGGCAUGCUGGAGACCACUGCCCCCAUCCCCAAGUGCAGACUGCCGCACACUUGGCCCCAGCUGUCUCCACUUGGGAAAGACAGGUGUUCCUGUGGCAGGAAACCCCGGUGCCAUGCUCCCAAGACCUGAGCACUGGAGCGGAGGAGGGCUGCUCCCCACCCCCAUCUCAGAACCUUCUGUCUCCUUCCUGGCUGUCACCUGGCCCUCCCCAUAAAAGGAGGAUGUGCACUGGGCUUACACAG